UGGGGAAUAUUGGACAAUGGGCGAAAGCCUGAUCCAGCCAUGCCGCGUGUGUUAAGAAGGUCUUCGGAUUGUAAAGCACUUUAAGUUGGGAGGAAGGGCAUUAACCUAAUACGUUAGUGUUUUGACGUUACCGACAGAAUAAGCACCGGCUAACUCUGUGCCAGCAGCCGCGGUAAUACAGAGGGUGCAAGCGUUAAUCGGAAUUACUGGGCGUAAAGCGCGCGUAGGUGGUUUGUUAAGUUGGAUGUGAAAUCCCCGGGCUCAACCUGGGAACUGCAUUCAAAACUGACUGACUAGAGUAUGGUAGAGGGUGGUGGAAUUUCCUGUGUAGCGGUGAAAUGCGUAGAUAUAGGAAGGAACACCAGUGGCGAAGGCGACCACCUGGACUAAUACUGACACUGAGGUGCGAAAGCGUGGGGAGCAAACA
rnacentral:rRNA from 1 species